rnacentral:rRNA from 1 species
GUGGGGAAUAUUGGACAAUGGGCGAAAGCCUGAUCCAGCCAUGCCGCGUGUGUGAAGAAGGUCUUCGGAUUGUAAAGCACUUUAAGUUGGGAGGAAGGGUAGUAACCUAAUACGUUGCUACUUUGACGUUACCGACAGAAUAAGCACCGGCUAACUUCGUGCCAGCAGCCGCGGUAAUACGAAGGGUGCAAGCGUUAAUCGGAAUUACUGGGCGUAAAGCGCGCGUAGGUGGUUCAGUAAGUUGGAAGUGAAAUCCCCGGGCUCAACCUGGGAACUGCUGUCAAAACUGCUGAGCUAGAGUACGGUAGAGGGUGGUGGAAUUUCCUGUGUAGCGGUGAAAUGCGUAGAUAUAGGAAGGAACACCAGUGGCGAAGGCGACUACCUGGACUGAUACUGACACUGAGGUGCGAAAGCGUGGGGAGCAAACAGGAUUAGAUACCCGGGUAGUCC